AACGAACGCUGGCGGCGCGCCUAAUACAUGCAAGUCGAGCGAGAAGACGUAGCAAUACGUUUGUAAAGCGGCGAACGGGUGAGGAAUGCAUGGGUAACCUACCCUCGAGUGGGGAAUAACUAGCCGAAAGGUUAGCUAAUACCGCGUACGCUCCUUGGACUUCGGUUCAGGGAGGAAAGCGAUACCGUGGGUAUCGCGCUCUUGGAUGGGCUCAUGUCCUAUCAGCUUGUUGGNGAGGUAACGGCUCACCAAGGCUUCGACGGGUAGCUGGUCUGAGAGGACGAUCAGCCACACUGGCACUGCGACACGGGCCAGACUCCUACGGGAGGCAGCAGUGGGGAAUCUUGGACAAUGGGCGCAAGCCUGAUCCAGCCAUGCCGCGUGAGUGAAGAAGGCCUGGUUGUAAG
rnacentral:rRNA from 1 species